UUUCCGUAAGUGAACCUGCGGAAGGAUCAUUCAUAAUAAGUGUUUUAUGGCACUUUUUUAAAUCCAUAUCCACCUUGUGUGCAAUGUCAGGGUUGAUUUUUCUCUCGAGAGGAUCAACCCCAAACAUCAACUAUAUCUCAACUCUUUGUCUGAAAAAUAUUAUGAAUAAAACAAUUCAAAAUACAACUUUCAACAACGGAUCUCUUGGCUCUC
rnacentral:misc_RNA from 1 species